GGGAUAACAGCUAGAAAUAGCUGCUAAUACCGCAUAAGCGCACGGUUCCGCAUGGAACAGUGUGAAAAACUCCGGUGGUGUGAGAUGGACCCGCGUCUGAUUAGCCAGUUGGCGGGGUAACGGCCCACCAAAGCGACGAUCAGUAGCCGGCCUGAGAGGGUGAACGGCCACAUUGGGACUGAGACACGGCCCAAACUCCUACGGGAGGCAGCAGUGGGGAAUAUUGCACAAUGGGGGAAACCCUGAUGCAGCGACGCCGCGUGAGUGAAGAAGUAUUUCGGUAUGUAAAGCUCUAUCAGCAGGGAAGAAAGUGACGGUACCUGAAUAAGAAGCCCCGGCUAACUACGUGCCAGCAGCCGCGGUAAUACGUAGGGGGCAAGCGUUAUCCGGAUUUACUGGGUGUAAAGGGAGCGUAGACGGCAAGGCAAGUCUGAAGUGAAAGCCCGGUGCUUAACGCCGGGACUGCUUUGGAAACUGUUUGGCUGGAGUGCCGGAGAGGUAAGCGGAAUUCCUAGUGUAGCGGUGAAAUGCGUAGAUAUUAGGAAGAACACCAGUGGCGAAGGCGGCUUACUGGACGGUAACUGACGUUGAGGCUCGAAAGCGUGGGGAGCAAACAGGAUUAGAUACCCUGGUAGUCCACGCCGUAA
rnacentral:rRNA from 1 species